rnacentral:rRNA from 1 species
GACGAACGCUGGCGGCGUGCCUAAUACAUGCAAGUCGAACGAAGCUUUUUUAACUGGUGCUUGCACCGACUUAAACAACUGAGUGGCGAACGGGUGAGUAACACGUGGGUAACCUGCCCCAAAGCGGGGGAUAACAUUUGGAAACAGAUGCUAAUACCGCAUAACCACAGAAACCACAUGGUUUCUGUGUCAAAGAUGGUUUCGGCUAUCACUUUGGGAUGGACCCGCGGCGUAUUAGCUAGUUGGUAAGGUAAUGGCUUACCAAGGCAAUGAUACGUAGCCGAACUGAGAGGUUGAUCGGCCACAUUGGGACUGAGACACGGCCCAAACUCCUACGGGAGGCAGCAGUAGGGAAUCUUCCACAAUGGACGAAAGUCUGAUGGAGCAACGCCGCGUGAGUGAAGAAGGUUUUCGGAUCGUAAAACUCUGUUGUCGGAGAAGAACGUGUGCGAGAGUAACUGCUCGUGCAGUGACGGUAUCUGGCCAGAAAGCCACGGCUAACUACGUGCCAGCAGCCGCCGUAA